AAUGAACGUUGGCGGCGUGGAUUAGGCAUGCAAGUCGAGGGAGAACCCGCAAGGGGGACACCGGCGAACGGGGUAGGAAUACGUAGGUAACGUACCCUCAGGACGGGGAUAGCCACGGGAAACUGUGGGUAAUACCCGAUGAUCUGGUCUGGCUCAAUUGCCGGAUCAGCAAAGGUGAGAUUCCACCUGAGGAGCGGCUUACGCGAUAUUAGCUAGUUGGGGAGGUAACGGCUCACCAAGGCGACGAUAUCUAGGGGGUGUGAGAGCAUGGCCCCCACCACUGGGACUGAGAUACUGCCCAGACACCUACGGGUGGCUGCAGUCGAGAAUCUUCGGCAAUGGGCGAAAGCCUGACCGAGCGACGCCGCGUGCGGGAUGAAGGUCUUCGGAUUGUAAACCGCUGUCGGGAGGGAUGAAGUGCACGGGGGCAAUCCCCUGUGUUUGACAGAGCUCCGGAGGAAGCACGGGCUAAGUUCGUGCCAGCAGCCGCAGUAAUAC
rnacentral:rRNA from 1 species